GGGGAUAUGGUGGAAUUGGCAUACACACACGCUUGAGGGGCGUGGCUCGUCAGAGCGUGAGAGUUCGAGUCUCUCUAUCCCCA
rnacentral:tRNA from 1 species